rnacentral:rRNA from 1 species
GACGAACGCUGGCGGCGUGCUUAACACAUGCAAGUCGAACGGAAAGGCCCUGCUUUUGUGGGGUGCUCGAGUGGCGAACGGGUGAGUAACACGUGAGUAACCUGCCCUUGACUUUGGGAUAACUUCAGGAAACUGGGGCUAAUACCGGAUAGGAGCUCCUGCUGCAUGGUGGGGGUUGGAAAGUUUCGGCGGUUGGGGAUGGACUCGCGGCUUAUCAGCUUGUUGGUGGGGUAGUGGCUUACCAAGGCUUUGACGGGUAGCCGGCCUGAGAGGGUGACCGGCCACAUUGGGACUGAGAUACGGCCCAGACUCCUACGGGAGGCAGCAGUGGGGAAUAUUGCACAAUGGGCGGAAGCCUGAUGCAGCAACGCCGCGUGCGGGAUGACGGACUUCGGGUUGUAAACCGCUUUCGCCUGUGACGAAGCGUGAGUGACGGUAAUGGGUAAUGAAGCACCGGCUAACUACGUG